GACGAACGCUGGCGGCGUGCUUAACACAUGCAAGUCGAACGGUGAAAGCGGAGCUUGCUCCGCUGGAUCAGUGGCGAACGGGUGAGUAACACGUGGGCAACCUGCCCCUCACUUCGGAUAACUCCGGGAAACCGGGGCUAAUACCGGAUAUGACCUCCUUGGGCAUCCUUGGAGGUGGAAAGUUUUUCGGUGAGGGAUGGGCCCGCGGCCUAUCAGCUUGUUGGUGAGGUAGUGGCUCACCAAGGCGACGACGGGUAGCCGGCCUGAGAGGGCGACCGGCCACACUGGGACUGAGACACGGCCUAGACUCCUACGGGAGGCAGCAGUGGGGAAUAUUGCGCAAUGGGCGAAAGCCUGACGCAGCAACGCCGCGUGCGGGAUGACGGCCUUCGGGUUGUAAACCGCUUUCAGCAGGGAAGAAGCCGCAAGGUGACGGUACCUGCAGAAGAAGCACCGGCUAACUACGUGCCAGCAGCCGCAGUAA
rnacentral:rRNA from 1 species